CCAUGCAUGUGUCAUUACAAACUAAACCAAAAGUGAAACCGCAAAUGGCUCAUUAAAUCAGCUAUGAUUUAUUGGAUCUGUACACCCAUUUUUCCUUGGAUAACUGUGGUAAUUCUAGAGCUAAUACAUGCACAUAUAGUCCCUAACCUCACGGGAAGGGCGCUUUUAUUAGUAUCAAAACCGGUCAGGCUUCGGUCUGUAAAACCAGUUGUGAUGACUCUGGAUAAUUUAAGCUGAGCGCACAGUCUUUGCACUGGCGCCGCUUCUUUCAAGUGUCUGCCUUAUCAGCUUUCGAUUGUAAGUUAUGUGCCUACAAUGGCUAUAACGGGUAACGGGGAAUCAGGGUUCGAUUCCGGAGAGGGAGCCUGAGAAACGGCUACCACAUCCAAGGAAGGCAGCAGGCACGCAAAUUACCCACUCCCAGCUUGGGGAGGUAGUGACGAAAAAUAACGAUGCGAGACUCAUCCGAGGCCUCGCAAUCGGAAUGAGUACACUUUAAAUCCUUUAAUGAGGAUCAAUUGGAGGGCAAGUCUGGUGCCAGCAGCCGCGGUAAUUCCAGCUCCAAUAGCGUAUAUUAAAGUUGUUGCGGUUAAAAAGCUCGUAGUUGGUUUUCAGGAUUGGACUGAAGGUACGCCGUGAGGCGUUUAAACCUGUCAGACUCCGGAACCAGCUAUCGCAAUAACUUUGUGUAUGCCCACACUAGCUCACACGGGGUGUUCUUAAUUGAGUGCCCCGCGUGGCUGGUAUGUUUACUUUGAAAAAAUUAGAGUGCUCAAAGCAGGCCAACAGAAUGGCCUGAAUGUCUAUGCAUGGAAUAAUAUAAAAGGAUCUCGGUACUAUUUUUUCCGGGCAGUUUGUGGAACCCGAGGUAAUGAUUAAUGGAGAUGAAUGGGGGCAUUAGUACUGCGACGCCUGAAGUGAAAUUCUUGGACCCUCCCCAGAACUAACAACGGCGAAAGCAUUUUGCAAAAUUGUUUUCUUUAAUCAAAAA
rnacentral:rRNA from 1 species